CCUGAAAGUCCUGUCCGUGAAAACUGACAAAGAAAACUUGAUUUAAAAGGCGUCUUCUGAUAAACCUCAGCAUCUCCUUACUAACAUACUAAGAGCAAUCACUGAACACUUUUCGUAUGUUCAAUGCGUCCUCGCGGGAUCUGAGAAGCAUUGUCCUAUUAAAUCUCAGUCGUCUGAUUUUCAGCAUCAAUUUAUCUUGGGAGCUGCUCCUGCAUUUUAUAAGGUGAAUUCUACAGCAACGAGAUUAAAGAUUCAGAAAGAGACAGAAGAAUCCACUCUAGCUGAGACUCCAGAUUGCCUGGGCUGUAAUUUACGGUGCUAUCACAAAGGGGUCCUUUUUCCGCAUGGUGCUCUGCGGUGAUGAGCCAGAAGCUGAAGCUGAGGGGUGUGUGACUCUCCCGCACACUCUCUGGAGUCUUAUUGGCUGUGCAAACUUGAGGGAGUUGCCUAACCACUCUGGGCCCUGUUUUCCUGGCUUUGCCACUCUUCAGCUGUGUGACCCGGGGAAGCUCUCAACCUCUUUGUGCCUCCAUUUCCACAUCUGUAAAAUGGGGAUAUGAAAGUGGCUGCUUUGUGAAGAGUCCUGAGAAUAAAUGAGUUAAGGAAAACUGAUAUGGAUAAAUAUGGAAGAGAGCUGGCCAGUGGAUGAAAUGGUGAUGUAAAGGUGAGCUUUGCGGAAGAGUGGAGAAAAGAGAUUGGCACUGAAGUGGGCAGUGAAAGAGCAAGAGGCUUGUGGGAGACUUGAUUUCAGAGGCAGCGUUUGGAUGGUUAUGAACAGGCUUUCCUCUUCUUUCAGGGGUACCGUAAAGAUCAGAAUUAAUAGUAUGACUAUUUGGUUUGGAGGCUGUUUCAUUAAGUAUUACACUGUGGAGAGACUGGAUCACAUGGGUCAUAUUAUUUAUUCAGGUUACAUUCACACUCCCUGUGAAUUCCCACCCUAUGCAAACUGGCAAGAAAACGCUAUUUUAAAAGAUUCUUGAACGCUUUUGUAUCUUUCUUAAGACUUUUGUAUACAGCACUGUUCACAUAGUAGGUAGUCAAAAUUAGUGAGAAAGACUCAAGCAAAAAGUUUAUUUGGAUUUCCAUAUGAUUUAUAAGCCAAGACGCUAUAAUCCAAAGAGGCAGGAAAAUGAUGUAAACUAGAAAUAAAAAUAUUUGUAAGUGACAAUGUGUCCUGAAUUCUUUGACAGGUUAAGAGAAAUAAAAGCAGGAGACGAGGAGAGAGUCACACCACGGCUCUGCAGCCCACACCACCUUGGAACCAAACAGGGAGGUGGCAGAACUGAUGGGCUGGCCGCACCACCUUAAAUCUCUUAGCUCCAAAACUGGAGGUGCUCAUCAGGACCCUGCAUCAUUUCUGUGGGUGAUGGAUGGUGUGAGGUAAGGCACAGAGAUCUAGACUUAUUUCUCCUUCCACAACAAUUGUUUCUUGGAAGAGGAAGAAAACUUAGCUGGAUUUUAUCUCUUUGUGUGGAUUUCUGGGGUAGACACCCAGAGGUGUGUGCAGGAGCAUGCUCUUUGGGGCCCACAUAGAGAUUCCAGCAGGUGCUGGAGAUUCUGGGGUAGCCUUUCCAUGACUGCUGGCCUCUUUUCCCCUGUGUUGCUUUGGUUUGCUGUCUGGCUAAAGGCAGGAGUGGGAGAAACUCACAUUCCACAAGAGGCUGCCUGGAGCAGAGGCCAAGAGGGUAAGGUUUGUCCAAGGCCUUCCAUCUCAGCUUUGCUGCCAAUUUGUCAGAAAAAAAAUCAUUUGUGCCAAUUAGACCCUGGUUAGGAAAGUGUUGUCCUGUCUGGGAAGCAGGUACAGAAACCAGUUGCAAGGACAGGAGAUCAAUGAAAGUGACACAUUACUUAUGCCUCCAAUUCUUCUCAGCCCUCAAUUUAGUCUCUGAGACACAGAGAAAAUAAGUGUACUUGCCUUGCUAAUGGGUACAUGGUUGGCUUUGGGCAAUUUAUAUAGAGCACUUUAGUUCCAAGAUGAAAUGCACUGAGAUAUUAGGAUUAGUCUCUGCUUUAAUGAGUUUCUGACUUGCAGGUUUGAAAAAAUUUAGUUCUUUUCUGUAUUUCUCUACAAACACAAAACAAUGAUUUAAUGGUAAAACAACAAUGAAAAGAAACUAGGCCAUUCUCUCCAAAAUGAUUAAAAGGGUACUUCUCCUGACCUGACAUAACCUUUCCUCAUAUGAAUUUAUUAUCUGUAUUCACACUCAUAUUCCACUGGAAUGCCUUGGGUCCAGGUGGAUGGUUGCUUAUGGUUAGUAUCGAUUCUGAGCAGGUAGGCAUUCAUACUGUUUGGUUGACGCCUGUGGUGAACAGACCUUAAGGUGACUUCUUGCACCCCUGAGUCAUUUUCUUGUAUAAUCUCCUCUCUUUGAGGACACAAACUGUGCCCUGCUUCAAACCAGUGGAAUAGAGACAAGGUGAUGAGAUCUUUGGUUAUUGCACCUAACUGCUUCAUUCAUUGCACAAUUAGUCACACGCUGUUUUGUGAUGCAGAACAUUUUUUUUUAAGAGAUGGUAGUCUCACUCUGACACCCAGGUUGGAGUGCAGUGACAUGAUCAGAGCUCACUGCAGCCUCAAACUCCUGGGCUCAAGGGAUCCUCCUGCCUCAGCCUCCUGAGUAGCUGGGACUAGAGGUGCGUGCCACCACACCCAGCUAUUUUUUAUUUUUUGUAGAAAUGGAGUCUCACUUUGUGGCCCAAGCUGGUCUCCAACUCCUGGGCUCAAGUGAUCCUCCCACCUUGGCUUAUCAAAUUGCUGGGAUCACAGGUUUGAGCCACCGUGCUUGGACUGUGAUGCAAAAUUUUAUCUAAACCUUGUAUUGUUGACUAUAGCAUCAUGCACUUACUAUUUUCCCUCUUAACUAGAUUUUAAGUCUCUUGAGGGCAAGAACUCUGUUCUUGAAGAUUUUCAGAAGCCCGAUAGCAUAUGGAAGUACUUGACACACAAUAAGUACACAGUCAUAUGUGAUUUGGUUUCUGAGCCUUCAUUUGUCCAACAAAACCAGAUGGGUCUUAGAUGAAGAUAUACGUGGCAAACACUGCAUGCCUACUGUGGGUCAGGUUAGCUCCCAGACAUGCAGAAAACAAAAGCUCUGUCCUCAGGAGUUCAUGAUGGUUCAACCCAAUCAACGAAGUCUUGCAAUCUCACUUCCUCCUUACCUUGUAGAGUUGGAAGAUAUCCAAAUAUUCCUAGAGUUCUUUGUCAAUCUGUCAGGAUUAUAAUUCCACAGAUCAGGCAGAGUGUAACCAUGAAGCUCUUCAGUGAAUUUUUAGUGACUUUUGGGUGAUUUUUUAGUUUCCAAGUAGAAGAAGCAAAAGACCCUUGUGGUGGUUACCUUCCAUCUAAACAGAGAGUGAGCUACAAAGAUACUGCUGUCCCUCAGUGGCCCAUGGGUGUCCCUGCAAAUCUGUGACUCAAGUGGCCAUAUUCAUAUUAAGCAGACCAGAGAUCAAAACCAUAUUAGGCAUGAACCACUUUUUAUUCAUAGGCUUACCGAAUAUAU
rnacentral:lncRNA from 1 species